rnacentral:sRNA from 1 species
AGUGGUGCGCUCAGCUUGGAACACUGCAGGAAUGCAGCCGGGUGGGUGCUGGCUGGGAUCUUGGGGUCUGGGUGCUAGAGGGACAAGAGCCUCAGGAGCAAGGGCCCUGUCCAGACAGCAGCCGGGCCUCUGCCCACGUGGCACCCCAAGCUGGCUGCCCAGCCUCUUCUGAAGCUGAGAGCUGCCUUUUUGCUGCCUCCAGGCACCCACGUGGGCUGCCAGUUGUCUCGGAUCGGAGCCCCCUGCCUGGAGGCGUGAGCCGUGCUCCCAGCCAGCAGCUGGACAGUGGCACAGCGACGUCUUCAGUGGACUGGGCAGCAUGGCCCACUGCUCAGGGGUCACCUAUUAUGGGUUGUGGAUCAACGGCCACCCAGCAGAACAAGCUACGAGGAUCGUGAUCUUGGGUCCGGAGGUGAUGGAAGUGGCCCAAGGGUCUCCCUUCUCGGUGAACGUUCAGCUGCUGCAGGACCACGGGGAAAUUGCCAAGAGCGAGAGCGGCCGGGUCCUGCAGAUCUCAGCGGGCGUCAGAUACGUGCAGCUGUCAGCCUACUCCGAGGUCAGCUUUU